UUUGCAAUCCUUCCAUAGUUACACCAAGGGAACCUGGGCCAUACCUGAGCAUCUGAAACCAUAUAAUUCCUUUUGCUGGUACCAUGAAGAGGCACUCUAUUUUAUCCAAACUACCCUAGAAGUCUUCACCAUUUUUGUUGGGGGGAUAAUUCUACAACAGCUUACUUUGGGGCAUCUAGUGAAAUGUCCAAGUACAUGCUGAUGCACAUUAUAUACAAAGCCUAAAUUACUGAUAAAACCGUUGGUAAUUACUCCUGCUAGGAUAUUGUGAGUAGUAUACUUUUUAAAGGAACAGUAUAGAAAGGCUCUAAAAUAAGUUCCAACCAUUGGAAAUCAACAAAAAGGUUCAUAAUUGGGGAAGUGAAAGUAGGAAAAUUGAUGGGGAUGCUCAGAAAAUCUAAAGGAGAUGGAUAGACCCACUUUAGUGUUCAAGAUAGUUUUGAAAAAUUAUUUUCAAGUAGCUUUUUUAUUUUAUUUUUUUAAGAAAAGAUACCAUUUAUGGUAUAGAUGGAUAUAUAAAUCCAGCACAGGGGAAAUUGUUGAUUAAUAAAUGCCAUUUCUACACCAAUAAUGAAUCCAGAACAAUGCAGGUGAUGACUGAUGUCCCAACAUGAUUAAGUGGAGGUGUACAAUGAUAACCCUUUCUACACAAGGAUAAAUGUCAUUUCCAGGGUAGUUUAAAUAACCAAAAUAAGUGAAACUGGUGUGAUUAUAUUGCAUUAUUUUGACAAAAAAUGCCGAAUUUUGGAUUAUUUGGUGCAGAAUUCUCCCAGGAGUAUCUUUUGCAAGUUUCUCUCUGGUGAUGCAAAUGGUUUGCUCACUUUUAUCCAGUAACAUCCUAGCUUUUAUGGUUCCCCCUUCACACAAGCAAGAAAGAAGUGAAAUCUCUGCUUUUAAGAAGACACAAGCCUUUUCUACACGAAGAAGGCUAUGUCUAUACUACAGCCGGGAUAGAAGCUCUGAGAUUGAUCCACCAGCAGUCGAUUUAGUGGGCCUAGUGAAGACCCAUCAAACUGACAGCAGAUCAUUCUCCAGUCGACCUUGUAUUCUACCUUCUAUGAGAAGAGUAAGGUUAGGAUUUUGCUGGGGACACAAAGCUUGAAGAAAUUAGCUGCUGUUAGCUUAAAGCAUCACAGAGAAAAUUCAGAAGUGAAAUGUUUUGUUUUGUGGCAGGAGACUACAGGAAGCAAGUUGGAGAAUAAAAACUGGACACUAUUCUGGACGAGACCAGUGACAACCUUAGCUCACAUGGAAUCCAAAAGAGUUUCUGUGCUGUACUUCUAUAACAAGGCAUUUGAAACAGUGUAUAAACACAACCACAAACUAAUAUUUUCAAAAGAAAUUUCACAUCAAGUGUACUAUGACUAAGUAAAAGCAUUUUCAAUUAAUUUAUGUUUUUAACAGAAAGGGAAAUAGUCCAGCAUUUAAAUAGAUGUCAUCCAAGACUGAGCACAUGGUAUCAACCAGGUGCAGACAUCUUGGUUAUUUGGGAACAUAUUUUCUUUAAUGAAAAGGUUUAACAGGAUUAUCUCUGAAGUGAAUUAACUGUAGGCUUUAUAGCGCCAAGAGUAUUUCAUUAGUUUAUAACUGACAUUUUUGUUGUGCUUGGCAAAGUUUAGAGGAACAGGUAAUGUUCCUUGUCAUUGCAGAGAAAUUGCCUGCUUAGGAGGUGUUAUAGCUCAGAGGACCUUAGCUUUAUCAUCCAAAAUCAGUUACAUUCUAGUUUACUUGAUAUGAAGGACAGAACAUCUGAAACCAGAAUCUGAGGUACUUACAAUAAGUGAACUGUUCCUUCUAUCAGAAUUAAUUGAAGAGGUGGCAAAGCAAGAGGUCAAUAGUUGCAGGCAUGCAGCCUGGCUUCAUAUUUUCAAUAGCUCUCAUUUACAGAUAAGCCUACAUUACAUGCCAAGAAGGUCUUUUCAUUUAACAGUUAUGUUUUGGGAGUCUUAAAAUCUGGAGCUUGCUUGGCACUUCCAUUCACAAUUGUUUUUCAGCUUUUAAUAUAAUUAUUUCAAAACCUACAUGAAAAACAAGGUAUACUGUGAUUUUAGUCCUUUACGGAAGAUUUAUACCCUUUUUCUCCCCUUCCCUCAGGACUUCAAUGAACCUCAUCAGAUUUAUUUUGUCCCAAUCCUCCAAUUUCUGUAGGUCACUCUGGACCCUACCUUCCCUCCCAGUUUAGUGUCAUCUGUGAACUUGCUGAGGGUGCAAUCCAUCCCAUCAUCCAGAUAAUUAAUUAAGAUGUUGAACAAAACUGGCCCCUGAGGCACUCCACUUGAUACUGGCUGCCAACUAGACAUCGAGCUGUUGAUCAGAACCCAUUGAGCCCGAUGAGCUAGCCAGCUUUCUAUCCACCUUAUAGUCCAUUCAUCCAAUACAUACUUCUUUAACUUGAGGGCAAGAAUACUGUGGGAGACCAUAUCAAAAGCUUUGCUAAAGUCAAGGUAUAUCACGUCCACUGCUUUCCCCAUAUGCACGGAGUCAGUUAUCUCAUGAUAGAAGGCAGUCAGGUUGGUCAGGCAUGACUUGCCCUUGGUGAAUCCAUGUUGACGGUUCCUGAUCACCUCUCUCUCCUCCAAGUGCUUCAAAAUGGAUUCCUUGUGGACCUGGCUCCAUGAUUUUUCCAGGGACUGAGAUGAGGCUGACCAGUCUGCAGUUCCCUGGAUUCUCCUUCUUCUCUUUUUUAAAGAUGGGUAUUAUAUUUGCCUUUUUCUAAUCACCCAGGACCUCCCCUGAUUGCCAUGAGUUUUAACACCUCUUACCCUCAAUGAUUUGGACCUUUUUCGAUGAGGGUUCCCUUAGUAGCCCAUCCAUGCUGCUCCCAGCUCUUGCUUGUUCACACAGUUCAAUACAGAGUGGUGAGCUUCCCCCCUUGAGAUCGAGAUCCAAACAUGCUGCUGUUUCCAGCACAAUUAGUGCCUGCAGUAUGAGACCAACUGUGAGUAUUCUAUCCCCAUAAGUAUCAUGAAUGGCUGUGCAUUAACUUCUGAGCUACCAAGACUGACUAUAUAGGGUAAAGAUAUUUGCUCAUGUAAAAUUUCAUGAGGAACUUUCAUACUGCACAAUAACUUAUACAGCAAAAUCUGCACUAAAAACAACUUUGAGGAGAUAGACCCUGUUUUAAGAGAUUUAAAAGUACUGUAUCGGCCCAGUUUCCAGAACACCGUUGUUUGACUGCUAGUUAAAACUGCCUCUGUCAGCAACCAGUUUUUGCUGGUCUUUUGGACUGCCACUUAAGACAUGUUUAAAUUCAUGUAUAUAGAACUUUUCAUCCAGCAGUAUUCCAAAGCACUUUACAAACUAUAUAUGGGAAUCACUUAACCCAAACCAAAAUGAAGCUACUUCUAGAAAGAAAUGAGGCAACUGUUUAACGACACGCAGCAGUUUAGGAUAGUAAGUGAAGAAUACCAUAUCCGAUUGAAAUUACAGGGGAGGAUUUGAGCAGGCAGGAUGUAAUUAUCCAAAGUCCUCUGAGAUGUAUCAUUGCCCUUCUUGGAUGGUUAAAGUCAAUGGAAACAGUCUGGCCUUUUACUAAUUUUACUGAUGGAAAUUGUGAAUGUCCCACAGAGAGAGCGCAAGCUGAUGGCACUUUUUAAAGGUGCCAGAAUAUACCUUGCUUAACAAAACUAGUGUUGGAAACUCCAGAUGGUUCAGCAUGCAGAUGCCCACCAAUAAGUAUUGUAGACUAAAGGAGCAACAUAUUACAUUUGCUUCUAGUUAUCUUGCAGAAGAAAUCCAUGGUGCUGAUCUUACGCCUGAAUAGCCUGGGUCCCAGUUGUCUGAGCCCACUUUCCUGCCUUUGCUCCAUCAAGACAACUUCAGCAGGAGGAAGAAGAAAAGCUUAGCUGAGCUGGGAGCUGGGUAUUCUAAUGUCUGGAGCUGUUGGGAAUGUGUCUGAGCCUCAAAAUCAGGAUGAAAUGUAGAUUCUUUUCAUCUAGGUUUUCCAUAAUAUUUGUUGGAUUCACUUGUUUUUAAAUCUUCUGGAUGCUACCCACUGUCUUAGGUGUCCUCAAAGGAACUCAGUCAGCUGCUGUGGAUAUUUGAACGUGCUCCACAUUUUUGUGACGCUGUUAGAUUCUACUUGGUGUAAGGUGUAGUAGAAAGCACAGUAAAACCCUGUAAAUACUUGUAGCAAUAAUAAUAAUAAUACAUUGGAGUUUACCCAGUACAUAAGAGAUAACACCUGCUUAUUUUUUUGAAAGUUCCACGGGAUCUUUAAUAACUUACAGUGAUCAGGGUUCUAAUGUGAAAUCUAAUAUGAAAGACUACAUUACAGCAAAACAGCCUUCUAACCCUAACUGCAUUCUGGGGCAUUGGCUGAAUACUGUCUCAAAAGAAAGAAUGCCACCUACUAAAUCACUAGUCUCAUUUCCUUCAGAACCUAAUUUUUUCUUGGAGGUCUCCCAAGUAUUGAUCAGGUUCAAUAUGAUUUUAAUUUAUGAGUCCACAAUCUGAGAAAAAUGGCUGCAGAUUGAAAAAGAAAAUUUAAAUUAAUCUUUUUUUUUAAUGUUUGAUUUUAGCUAUUGCCAAUAAUUAAAAUAUUUGGUUUGAAUAAGAUUUUCUCAAUCACGAAUCAUACUCUUUUCUGACGGAUCAUGAAGUAAAGCGUGUAUGUGUAAGAUACACAGUCUGUCAUGGAAAAUAUUGUGAAGUCACAAAUUCCAAACAAUCACUGAAGCUAAGCAGGAGAAGAUGACGGAGAAGGAAAUCUUAAGAGGCCUGAAACCCUAAACUAAGUUUAAUAGAAAACUGCUGCGCUUAUAUUUUUUAUUUCUAUGAAAAGCAAAAAAUAAGAAGGAGUCAUAAAUGCACACAUUAGACACUGGAACAAUUUAUCAAGGAUUGUGGUGGAUUCCCCCAUCACUGACAAUUUUUAAAUCAGGAUUGGAUAUUAUUCUAAAAGCUAUGCUCUAGCAAUUGUUCUGGGGAAGUUCUGUGGCUUGUGUUAUAGUGGACGUCAGACUAGAUAAUCAUACCGGUCCCUUCUGGCCUUAGAAUCUAUGAAUUUGGAAAAUUAUUUUCUCUGUUUGCCAUUUCAUCUAGAAUAUUUGGUCUCUUUCAUUGGCUCUUCAUCAACUGUGCUUUAGCCUUAUAUCUAUAAAUAUUUAAUUCCUCAGGGAGCAGUGAACAGAAGGAGUCUAUUUUUCACUGAAUGCUUUGGUAUGCACUUGUAGUAUAUGGUUCAUUCCUUGGGUGUUACCUACUUCUGUGAUGCUAAGAGGUUUAUGGAGUUUUGAGCUCUAGUUUUUGAAUCUUUUUAUAUUUUGUCUCUUUUGUCUCUUCAAAUUUUGUCUGCGUGUGUCUUGUUUGGUGCCUCUAUAGAUGAUUAGUAGUUUGGGAAAAUUGAUUUCUGGUGCAAAAGGUUUGUCUAUUUAUGUAACGUGUGCCAUAAAUGUGCACCAGACUUUACAAACAUGUAGAAAUACUGGGUCCAUAUCCUGAGGAGUUUUUAAUCUAAUUAAGAAAAAUACAAUAUAUGAGAUAAACAUUCACGUGCAAGAAAGAAUAGAGACAUUAGUGGCUAGACAGCAAUAUAGGAAGACUAAGAAAGAAGGUAUUUGAAGGUGAAGAGACAACAGUGGAGAGAUUCUGGGACUAGAGUGAUGGGGUCAUAGCAGUGAGGUACUUUAGUUGUUGAAAUGCCUAACCCCUUCCGUGCCCUGCUAUCUAGUGGAAUCCUCAGUUCUGAGUUAGGUGCCCGAGCUCCCCAUAAAUGGCUUGGGAAGACUUGGCUGCUUAAGGAAGGGAACAUAAGAAGCCAGAAUGCUGAGAAAGGAGCCACCUAAGCUCCAGAAAAGUCAAUAGGAACAGAGGACAACAGUAAGGGUGGAGAAAGUUCCAUAACGCUCAACCUGCUCCUUCCUACUCUAAAUUUGCUAAUAUGACUAUGGGUAAUGCAAUGAGAGGCUCUUUGUCCUGUUCCCGCGGUGGCUGCUAAUGCAGAUGGCCACAGGGCAAGUUUACAUGUGCAGGUAGGAAGCUCCAACAGCAGCUCAGAGGCCCAAACUUUUCUCCUUUGCUCCCCUGACUCUCAGUUAUGUAUGACUGACCUCUUAGAACCACCAAUGAUGGACCUUCUCAAACUUCCCAAUCACCAUACAGUCUUCUGUUGAGUGGAGAGCAGAGAGGGAAAGUUCCCACCAAGACAGCAAAAAACAACAAAAAUUAGGAAGUAAAAUACAACAGAAAAUAAAAGAUAAUCAUAAGAGAAACGAACAGAGACAGAAAAGAUCAGGCGAGAAAAUGGAAAGAAAAGAACAUGCUAGUAACUGUAGCAGAGCACGGCACAAGGAAAAACAUGAUAAGGAAACCCUUCCACCAAUUUCUCACAAGAGAACUCCAUUACAAAAAUGCUAAAAACCCUUUGGCUAAAGACUCCAACAAGAUAGAGAUACUCUUGAAGAAUUACAAACACUAAUGAAAGCAAUAAUAAACACAUCCAAAUAUGGCUAAGA